AGUGAACGCUGGCGGUAGGCCUAACACAUGCAAGUCGAACGGCAGCACAGUAAGAGCUGGCUCGUACGGGUGGCGAGUGGCGGACGGGUGAGGAAUACAUAGGAAUCUACUUUUUCGUGGGGGAUAACGUAGGGAAACUUACACUAAUACCUCAUACGACCUACGGGUGAAAGCAGGGGAUCUUCGGGUCUUGCUGGAUUGAAUGAGCCGAUGCCGGAUUAGCUAGUUGGCGGGGUAAAGGCCCACCAAGGCGACGAUCCGUAGCUGGUCUGAGAGGAUGAUCAGCCACCCUGGAACUGAGACACGGUCCAGACUCCUACGGGAGGCAGCAGUGGGGAAUAUUGGACAAUGGGCGCAAGCCUGAUCCAGCCAUACCGCGUGGGUGAAGAAGGCCUUCGGGUUGUAAAGCCCUUUUGUUGGGAAAGAAAAGCAGCAGGUUAAUACCCCGCUGUUCUGACGGUACCCAAAGAAUAAGCACCGGCUAACUUCGUG
rnacentral:rRNA from 1 species